AAGUCGUAACAAGGUUUCCGUAGGUGAACCUGCGGAAGGAUCAUUGAGGAGUGUGGAGGGGAGAGUGAGUGGGAAUGUGGGGUGAGAUAUCACGUGACAAGAAAUCAUUUUUCAAUAUGACUAGCCACCUGGGAUCUCUGGGCUCUU
rnacentral:misc_RNA from 1 species